UACAGAGGGUGCAAACGUUGUUCGGAAUGACUGGGCGUAAAGCGCGUGUAGGCGGUCUCGCAAGUCGGGUGUGAAAGCCCUGGGCUCAACCCAGGAAGUGCACUCGAAACUGCAAGGCUUGAGUCCCGGAGAGGAAAGCGGAAUUCUCGGUGUAGAGGUGAAAUUCGUAGAUAUCGAGAGGAACACCGGUGGCGAAGGCGGCUUUCUGGACGGCGACUGACGCUGAGACGCGAAAGCGUGGGGAGCAAACAGG
rnacentral:rRNA from 1 species